UGCGCAGGCGGGCUUGUAAGUCAGUGGUGAAAUACUGCCGCUCAACGGUAGAACUGCCAUUGAUACUGCAAGUCUUGAAUAUGGUUGAGGUAGGCGGAAUGUGUCGUGUAGCGGUGAAAUGCAUAGAUAUGACACAGAACGCCAAUUGCGAACGCAGCUUACUAAGCCAUUAUUGACGCUGAGGCACGAAAGCGUGGGGAGCGAACAGGAUUAGAUACCCUGGUAGUCC
rnacentral:rRNA from 1 species